AACUCUUAUGGGAAAACUCUGACCAGUGUUUUAACGCCAUCUAAAAGAUAGCCCCCAGGAAAUGUGAACUACGAUGCCAAAAAUUCAAUAUGGCGUCUGUUAUAAGACUGGUGCGUGUAUAUGUUACUUAUGUUCGCUGAACGCAGCCAACUAUAUUUCUACAAUAAAUAUUUGAACGUUGUUUAACACUUCUUGUAAUUAAAGGAAUUUUUUUUGUGUGGUCAUCGUCGCUCGCUCCAAACUACCAUAUAUACGGAAGCGUACGUUGCGUCAUAGAUUUUAAAAGAACGUCCCUCUAAGAUAUUUGAGCAUAGAUAUGGGGAGGACAUGUUGUGUUCCUGGAUGCAAGUCUGGGAAAGAAGUGCCUUCACAUCGAUUUCCCAAAGAUCCUGAAAGAUGCUCAAAAUGAGUACAAAGUUUGAAAUUGAAACAUUUAGAAAAUUAUCCAAGCAAUGAGAUACAAAAAAAUAAAGUGUGCCAUAAACAUUUUCGUCUAGAAGACUAUAGUCCAUGUUUGCAUAAACGUGUUUUAUUAAAUGUUGCGGUUCCUGUAUUGUUUAUACAUAAUACAAGUAUAGAUGCUUGGUGUACACAUAUCAACAACAUUUUAUGUAAAAAGAUAACAACAGAUAGCGAUAAUUAUAUGUAUAAAGCAGCAAUGCGAAUAUCAACAAAAUAUGCAAAAAAAAA